ACAACAGGAAAAGAUAUGAGAGAGAUGAGCAUGUGUGGGAUGACAACCAGUGGGUACAGAACUUUAGGAUGGGUAAAGCAACCUUCAUAAAGCUAUGUGCUGAGCUGGCCCCCGACCUGCAGCACAAGGACACCAGAAUGAGAGCUGUCCUUUCGAUAGAGAAUUAUGUUGCAAUCGCUGUGUGGAAGCUGGUGAAUCCAGGCUGCUACCGGUCAGUUGCAAAUCAAUUUGGAGUGGGGAAGUCCACUGUUAGGGCUGUAUUACUCCAAGCGUGCACAGCAAUAAAUCACAUCCUGCUGCAGAGGACUGUGACUCUGGGAA